UUUUGAAUUUUUGAUCCGCGUGUAGUUGGCCAUCAGUACGUCUCCUACCGUCCCACCAAGUCCUGAGGGAAAAAACCCCUAACGAGAGAUAUCUCUCUCCCCUCGCCCUCCCCCUCCCCCUCCCCCAUCUCUCACUCUCUUGAGUUCUAUCUCUGUAUUGAGUGAAAACCCAAUGUCCCUCUUUCUUUGUUUCGGGGAAAACCCCAGAAUCCUCUAUGUCUUUGUACGCUAACAUCCAGUUGCAAUUUCUAAGGCUAUGGGAUAGGUAUCAAGGUCAGUGGAUCAGUGGUCUCUGCGUAGAAGUUGUGAAAGAUGAGAUUGUCAAAUUAGAGAGGCUGAUUAGUACUGAAAGAACCUUCUAUUGACUCCACCUCCGAACCCUACAAAGCAUCCAAUUUCCACCACAAGGUAGCUUCUUCACAGAAUCUUGGAAUCUCCGAGAGUCCUAAGGUUGAUGCCAAGCAGUCCUCAGGAAGACGAGGUGCUGGUUGAAUCAAAACACAGUACAUAGAUAUUGGAGUGCAUUUUAUGAUUGGAAGGACUACUGCCCAAUGGUAUUCAGGUAUUGGCUCCCUGGAAACGAAAACCCAGCCUAUGUUUUGCUUUCUGUUUGCAUAUUAAAUGGUCUAUUUGGAUGUAAAUUUGGUGCUCAAGCAUCAGGCCUUUCCUUUGUGUUGAAUUUCUAUUUCUUAUAUUUUGGUUGGUGUUAAUAAACUUGAGGGAGUUGCUCUAAAUAGAUCUUGCAGAUUGCAUAUGCUAGCAUUUCCGGAAUUGAUGUACGAAGAGGGCUGGUCAUUUCUGGAAUUGUGGGGAAGACAUUGGAUGUAAAUCUGCAUUAAGUUGUUUUCAUGUGUAUUUAUAUUUAAACACAUUGUCCUAUACACUCCCUGUGUACAAAUCAACUACUAGAGAAACCUCAGCUGGACACUUCAACCGCUGCUCGGCAUCUCGGCUGCUAGGGGACCUGCAAUCAAAGGUAGUAGAGUUUGAGUCGAGCCAAACUCGAACUUCUGAGCUCGAGCUCAAGUUUCUAAUUUGAAUCGAGCUCGAGCUAGACAACACCUCAACCAUUGAGGGAAAUCUUGGCUCAGCACCUCGACAACUGAAGAAGACCUUAGCACGGCACCUUGUCAACUAAGGGAGACCUUAGCUUGACACCUUGCCUGCUAGGUAAACCUUAGCUCGACACUUCAGCAGCUGAGGGAGAUCUCGGUUUGGCACCUCGACAAUUGAGAAAGACCUCGGCUGCUUAAGAGACCUGCAAUCAAAGGUAACUGAGCUCGGCUGAUGGUAGUAUAUUGAUAUUAUACUACCACCAGAAUUGAAGAUGGGAGUUUCGGAACUUUGAGCUUCAACAUAUAUUUAUAAUAUAUCUUGAGAAUUCUGAUGAUGACCACAUCGUUUUGCAAAUUUGCACGUUAAAUUAGAAGGAAUGGUUUUCAACUCACACACCAAAUUGAAGUAACCAGUUUUACCUUUCGAUUUCUUUUGCAAGUGUAUUUGAUGGAUCAAUGAGAACCUUUUGCUUAUUUAUGCA